GUGAUCUAUAUCCAAUUGACUUGUAAAUUAAACAAUAUUUCUAAUUUGUAUAAUGCUAUGAUAAGCAAUUGGAUAAACUCAUAAACAUGUGUCUUUUUUUUAAUCUAUUGUAUGUAUUUAGACUGAUUCCGACUUAACUUGUUUUUAGAGCAUUUACAAAGAAAGGCAUAGGAGCAUCACAUGCAAAUCACUCUCCUUGUUGAGCAUUGAUACCUCAUCUUGUCCCAUAAGCAUCUCUCUUUUUCCCUGCUGCUUUUCACCCAUAGCACACACACCAGCCACUUUUACGUGCACUCUUCUAACAACCCAAUAAAGUUUCUUCUUCUUUGCAAGCCCACUCUCUCAAUCUCUCAUGUAUUUUAAACCGUUAAAGUUUCAGCAUAAUCAAGAUCUACUGGAGAAAAAAGGCAGACAAGGGGGCUUUGCAGACGGUCUUUGCUGUUCUUGGAUGCCCCAUGUAAGUUUAGACCCUUGUUGUGUUCCCAUUUUCCAGUCAACCGUGUUACAUGUAUUUAAAAACCAAUACCAAAAGCUUUAACCCCGUCCCUCUUCAUUACAACUCUGCAUAACCCUCUCACCUCAAGGGCUCCAGGGGCUACACAGAAAGAGCUCGGAGAUGGAAAACCUCAACUCACAGCUAUAUUGGCAGAACUACUGCAUAAUCAAGGAAAACGAAAGGUUGAGGAGGAAGGCUCAACAGCUGAACCAGGAGAACCAGGCUUUGUUGUCUG